rnacentral:lncRNA from 1 species
AAAAUUUUGUUCUUCUAAAAAAGUAUUUUGUGUAUCCACUUGUCUAUCUGAAUUUCUUCUAAGCUAGCUAGCUGUCAACCGGCGUGUUGAUAAUUCCAUGUUUGUUGAGUGAAUCGAUUUGUAAUUUAUAAUAUUUGAAGCUCCACGAUUGCUUUUAAUAUAUUAACAUUGUGACUCCAUGAUGUAUUUUAACAGUCUACUGAUCAGCCCGAACCUAAGAUUUUCAGACUAGAGUCUAACUCCAAAUGUUGGGCCCUCAUGUGUAUAGCGAUUUAGGUUUUUGUUUUUGUUUUUAUUUUCACGAGUUAAAGCAGUAGACGGUAGCAGUAGGAUGGCUACCUGGCCUAUAGACCAUUCAAGAGCCCGUAACAAAUAUGCUCCCAAUCUGGGGUAAAGCAAGACUAGGACACCAAACGAAUGCCUGUGUAAACUAUUAAGGGAUGACAUUUGUCCUGCAUUGAUCGGUAAGAGAAGAGAGAGUCAACACAAGGUUAUAAAUGAAGUCUGAUAGUCAAUGUAACAAGUAACAUUAAUUACGUCAGUAAUUACACUUUACCUACCAAAUAUUAAGUUUAGAAUUAAAUUCAGUUUACCCCCAUGAGGUUUGGGAGUAACUUCAUGUUAAUCCCUAUACUUUCAAUUUCAUCAAUUUACCCCUCAAACUUUUGAAUUUUCCUCAAACGUGACCAAUGUCCUAUAUUCUGUCCAAAUCAGACGUUAACUGCUGAUAAUUUUAACCUUAACUGUGAGGCCCGUAUUUAGAAUUUGGGCAAAUUGGAUAUUAUCUGUCCAAAUCGAACAUUAACUGCUGAUAAUUAACGGUCAAUUCAAACGGAAUAUGAGAAUUUAGGCACGGCAGAUAGAAAUUGAAGAGUUCAAGGGGUAAACUGAUGAAAAUAAAAGUGUAGGGACUAACAUGAAGUCACCCCCAAACCACAAAGGGGUAAACUGAAUUUAAUUCUUAAGUUUACCAUCGGAGGGAGUAAGACCAGAAAGUCUAGGUCAUUUUCUUAUCACAGGUUGCAUGUAUCAUUUAAAGAAGAUCAUCCAAGACACGUGACGAGCUUUUGUUGACCAUACGGGAUCCUACAAAAACAUUUGACGUCAUCUGUGGGAAAACCCGGUGAGUGUCUUGAUGGCUAAGCAAAUCGAGCAGCGGGCGAGUGACGAGCCCGACUUGGGAGAUUUACAUCAUACAAUAUUUAAGGAAUCCGCGGUCACAACUAUAGGAGGUUCAAGAAUCAUUCAGGAUCGUCAACGUAAAGCGGAGAAUCAGCAUGAAAAGUCUUCGGCGACAACCAAAAGUUGUCACUAAAAGUCUAUAUUUCUCACUUAAUUGAAAGUGCGACGACUUUGGGUUGUCGCAACCGAUUGUCGUUUAAAGUGUUUAAACGAUUGUCAAAAGCGAAAAAACUACACAGUUGUCCAGGUUGAGGUCCCCCAUUACCACUUUCGAACUCUGUAGAAAAGGCAGGUCCCUUUUCAAGGGCUAUCAUGCAAGUUGUGCGAUCUAACGCGGUCAAGCCAUUAAAACUAAGCUAUAAUGGAGAAGAGGAUCCGCACCAGCUUCUAGAUAGCUUCAAAUCUCAAAUAAACACUAAAGGAUACACAUAUGUGUUAUGUUGCGACAUGUUGCAAGAAAUGCUCAUCGGGGAAACUGUCAACUAGUUCUACAAGCUCCAUGCUAAUUCGGUGCAGUAUUUCCAACAGUUAGCCAACAGAUUUCUAAAUCGCUUCAUCCUGCAUAAGGACGGUCAAAACACGACAUAAUUGCUCGAGGUCAGGCAAGAGACAGGUGAGGAACUGAAAAUUUUUGUGAACCGCUGGUAAGAUAACAUCACAAAAGUCAGAAACUUCAACAAGAUGUUGCAAAAGAGGCUUUCAAGCAAGCAUUGAAGCCCGGGAAACCCAUAAGGGUAUGACUAACUUAUGGAGAUAGGCAAUCAAGCAUUCCCAGGAAGACCAUGACACAUACGACAACAAAUUCAUGAAAAAGAUCAAGGUCAACGACAGUAGAGCAAUGUCCCCAGGACAUACAUCGCAAGUGGGGAAGAGUUGGAAGGGUGACCGGGAGCAGCAUGUGUUUUCUCCAAGAAAAAGGUUCAAAGAUGGGAACACAAAGAAACAAGGAAAAAAUCAAUACGACGGCCACGAAACUCGUUCCGGCAACCAGGGAGCAGUGAUAGAUUCCUAUUUCAUACACUUUUAUACUCUUAAAAGUUGGAUUAUAUGCUUAGUUCUUGUCAAUCGUGAAUAUUUACUUGGUUUUUGUGUUUUAUAGGUCAAGUUGGAGAAAAUGAGAAUUUGGAGCUAAAAGUCAAACUGAGGAUUGCAAAGGUGCUUUCUAUCCCGAGUGAUCUAGAAACUAACCCUGCUGUGCGUCAACUUUGAGGAUUAAGUUGUACUUUCUCACAAGGAAUUAGGAGGUGACAUACUAUUGGAAAUAUACGGAUGUUAGCUUUCUGAGGAAUUUUGCGGAAGUGGAUUUGCAUUUUUCUAGAGCAAGUUAUGAUGGUUUGAGUGAACGCAGCGCGUGAAGGCAGAUUUGGACGAAUUUUGCAUAUCUUCUCAUGAUUCCAAUUUGUGAAGCCCAAGUCCAUCAAUCUUAAUACUAUAAGGAAAAAGGCUGAACGUAUCUACAUAUUUAGAAGGUUAUUAUUGCAUUGACGAUAAUAACCUUAUGUUAUUUGGAGAGAAUAAAACAAUUCCGUGUUGGACAAGGAGAGACCAAAAAAGCCCAAAUCGAUCAAUUGGUAUUUCAAGGGAAGUAAAAGGAAAACCCUAAGCACAUGAAAUAGAAAGGGGAUGCAGCAAUGUCACGCCUAAAUUUUUGAAAAAUUUUUGAAGGAUAAUUUUCAAAAAUUUUGGCAUGAUAAUAUUAAAAUAAUAUAAUCUCAAAACCUGUUUCAAACAAAUUUCAUGGAAAACUAAACUCGAUGCGGAAUGUAAAUGUUACUCAACUCAACGCUGAGUUAAAUAUUACAUUUCCUUGUUUACAUAAACUUGAAAGUUAAGAAAAUGAAACGCUCACAUGAGUUUAAUGUUGUCUACCCCAAACAUAAAAAUAUACAAUAUACAACAAAACCCAACAAAAAAACUCUAUCACUAAGCCUCCGCUUCAACCCUGUUAAUCCUCACCUGCAGGUCUAACCCCUACACCAAGAAUUGGUGCACCGGGUUGUAAACAAUAAACCCGGUAAGUUAAAAAGCUCGAAUGAGUAAUUCUCAAAAUAACACUAAAUCUCCGAUUACCAAUUAAAUCACAUGAGCAAUUUAUAUCAAUAAAUAAAAUCCACAAAUCCAACACUUUUUCAAUUAACAUGUACCAAUGAGUCCCAGGUAUUAAUAAAUACCCCUCAUGACCUACAACAACAAAAUGUGUACCUAUGGGUCCCAGAUACCAUACAGUAUCUCCCAUGACCUAUAUUGAUAGACGGACUAGAACUCUAUUCCUAACCGCAACCAAUCACCCGGCCAAAGGCUUGGAACCCGGUUUGACUGUCUAAUAUCAAACACAAAAGUGAUAAAUAGCAUCUUAACCGCAACCAAUCACCCAAUUAAAGGCUUGAAACCCGGUUUGGCUAUUUAUCCAACAAUCAUAAUAUCACAACAUUAUUCUCAACAACACAAUAUCACAUCAUAAAUUAUAUCUUUCCACAUGGAUAUAUUUACAUGAACAAAAUAUAGAUAUUCCACAAGAAUAAUCUAUCAAUAAUCAAUAAAAUUAUGAUCACAUGAAUCUCAAAAUAGCAUUUAAAGAAAACUUGUUUUAUCUUACCUAUGAGUCGUUGACGAUCAAGCUCAUAUAUUUAAAAAAAAACCAUUAAAAACAUAUUAUCACAAUACCCUUAAACUAAUUAACCCUUAGUUCAAGGGAGGACAACUUUCCAAAGUCGUUGAACUUAGAGGCCGAAAAUGGCUGCCUCUAAUCCUCUAAUCCUUAAAUCCUUACUCAACCUCCACUAAGCCUAAUAUCACACCCAAAGUUCUAACACGCAAACCUUGCUCACAACCUAGGAAUUCUACAUCUUAACAAGCUCACAACAACAAGAGCUAGCUAAAACACAGCAACCUAAGCCAUAAACAUAGUCGAACGCGCUGCCACGCGCCGCCACAGGCGGCGGCGAGUUGGCCCCACGCGCCAAAAACUUUCGAAUUUGAGAAAACUCUCAACAGCAAAGUUGAAGCUUGAAGCAAAGGGAACAACUUUCAUACCUGAGGCUUCAACCAAUUUUGGCCGGAACCGGCCGGAAAAUGCCACGAAACCCUAACCCGGAAUCAAACUUCAAACUUGCAAAUCCGGGCUCAAAAACCUCAAAACUUGAUUCAAUCUAUGCCUAGACACUACCAGGAGGAGGAGAGGAUCAAGACUCACCUAAGGAUGCCCCUCGUCGCCGCCGGAAACGGCGAGUCCGACCGGAGACACAGCAGCCCUCUUUCCAGCAAUAAGGCUCCGAUUCCGGCGUGCCACACCGAGCAGCAGCUGCCCAGUCUUGAAGAGAGCACUUGUGGGAGUCAAAUGGGACCAGUGGCGGUCCAAUUGGUGGCUGGACGGCGGAGCUAGCUCCGGCGGAAGUUUGGUGUGCGGGUGAGUUCGGGAGAGGAAGAGAGAGAAAAGAGAGAAGAGAGUGAACUGGGUGAGGAGAGUGAGAAGAGAGAGAGCUGAUUUGUGUUAGGGUUUCCAAAAUAACCCACACACAAUUUUCUACUUAAACACUUUCCACACCCGGAAACUAACUUCCUCUGACCAUAACUUUCUCAUACGACAUCCGUUUUAAGCGUACCGUAUGUCUACGAACUCGUAUCGACAAACUCUACAACUUUCAAGAAGGAAGUUUUCGAAAAUAACUUACGGAAAAUAAAGUCAACUUUUGGCCUCUUAAAAGUCAAAACACCUUAAAAUAAACUCCUGAAACUUCAACUUCGCAUAAACCAAAGAAUUUCCAUAAAUAAUCCUUCAUUAAUUAAGGAAAUAAUACAAGAAAAAAUGAUAUGAAAAUCUAGGGUAUUACAAGCAAUAUCGCCAAGGAGAAAGAAGAACAUAACCUCGACAUCGCUUAACCCGAGUUCCUAUCUCUUCCAUUGUGUCUUCCAUGCUAUCUUUAUUUCUAGUCAUGUUUUCUUUGGCUAUGGAUUUCUAAACUUCUAGCUAGGGCUGAGAUAAAGCCCCCAGUAUGAUUACUCUAUUUUUUUAGUUGAUUUCUUUUGAAUUCAUGGAUUUCUAUGUUAAAUUCUCAAUCACUGUUUCAAUUGAACUUUUAUUCAAAAUCUUUGCUCAGGACCAAUAAGACCUAGGUUUUGUUUAUUAGUUAUUUGGCUAGAAAACAUGAGACUUGAUCGAGAGUAGAUGUUUUCUAGGGUUUCAAAGGAUUUAUUUAAUCUUGUGAUUAGAGAGUUGUAAGUUAAGGAUACAAGUGUUUGAUCAUAGUCGAUAUUCUUGUUUACAUGAUCUCCUAGUUCUUUUGUGUUUAAUGGAGUUGAACAUGUGUCAGGACCCACCCCGGAUUUCACCCUGAAAUCCGGAAUGAACACUGCGGGGAUCAACUCCAAAGAAGAUGCUACCGGAAAUUCAGCAUAACAUCCCUUGAAAAUAGACAACUCUUCCUAAAAACACCUGCAAACACACUUAUAAAAAAAUCAUACUCCAACCUUGUACUCCUGGAGCCUUCCUGCUCCCCAAGUUCAUCACAUCUCCCAAAAUAUCAAAUACUAAUCUAAAAGAAUCUCACUUCUAACAACAAAGACAUUUAAUAAUUUAUUAACUCGAUUAUCAUAACAUAUAUAAUAAUGAAAGAAAAAUAAUGAAUAAAGAAUAAGCGGAAACAGCCUCUGACUAUGCCUCGACUCUAUGUACGCUCGACCUCAAAUAAACUUAGUCUGCAAACUGGGCAUUUGAAACCGAAGAACCCAGAGGAAAGUAAUUUAAAACGUUAGAGUGAGUGGACAAAAAUAAAUUGAAUAAUUUAACAUAAAUGUAAUUUAAAUACUUUCCCACGUUUAAACUUUAAAAACUUAGAUGCACGCAACUUUAAUCAUCCAAAAAAACUUUAAAUCCAGAGUCACGAAAGAAUGAACAAACCAGCAAUACUGAAAUUUUGUAAGAAGAGACAAACCAGCCCCGUUGGUUAAUCAAUUACAUAAAUGAGAAAAUAAAACAAGGGGAAGAAAUAUAUCACCAUGUAAGAGGAGCUUCUUAGACUCGGGUCGGAACCUCCCAGACUCUAGUAGCGUCCCACGCUAAGCGCUCGACUCACCUAUGGUGAGGACCGUUAAUAAAGGCUAGCUAGCAAUGAACAAUAACCGAUUAGUGUCUCCCAGGCUAUAAUAGCGUCUCACGCUAAGCGCUCAACUCACCUAUGAUGAGGACCGCAUGCUAGCUAGUAAUGAAUAAGAGCUAGUAUGGUGACUAAAAACAUACGAAAUCACUAUUCAUAAAGCUUCCCUAAGAUCAUGUGAAUAGUACGGUUCUCAACCGUACUUAGAAAUUAUCAUCAGAAAUUAAAAUAAAACUCAAUGACGUGUCUCACGUCAAAAUAUUCUCAAAUUUAUAAUUAUAAGCGAGAUUUCAUUAUAAAUCAUAAAUAAUAUCUCCACCUGAAAUACUCACUAAACAAUUCUCAAUGUCAAGAUCAUUAUGCGACAAAUAAACGAGAAAAUUAUGAUGGAGAACUACCAGAAGUCCCAUUUUCGGUAUUCUUUUAUAAAUCUCAAAGUCAACAAAUAAAACAAUAAGAAUUAAAUCCGGAAUUGAUAAAGAAUAUCAAAACUCAAAUACCAAAUUAAUAACCCGACCUCAAAUCCAUAAAUCAUGACAAACUCUUAAUCAAUGCAUCAAACUCAAAUAAAUUUCAAGACCAUAUCAUAAACCGAAAUUUAUAAUAUAAGCUCGGAAAAUAGAAUGAUAAUUUCCAAAAUAAACCAUGCAUGCUUAUUCAUUUAAAAACAAAGUGUCCACUCACCGUAUUAGGCAUAAGCUUUCCAUUGCUCAUGACACUCCUCGCGCGCUGCCUCCAAAUAUCCAAGUCCUUGAGUCAAUCCCACACCUGACCAUAAGCUGUAGGACAAAUCGGUCAAACCGAACUUUGAAAUAACCAUUGCCUCGUCUUCUUUCCUAGUUUGACUCGGGUUUCCUAGGUUGACCAGGAUUUACCAAUUAACGAUGUUCAACGUUUUCCAAUCCAACCUUUGACUUAACAAUUCGAUACAAUUUUCACUAUACGUCCUACUAACAGUUAGGCACUUAGGCGUCGCUUAAUAAUUCGUUUUGGUGAACCUCGAUUUUGAUUAAUCAAACUAAUGUAAUUUGAUUAACUCAAAAACAUACGAACCACCUUAAUCUGAAAAACCACCAAAUUACUAAGGGCACCCAAAAGGGUUUGCAUAACCGAAAAGUUUUCAAAAAUGGAAAGUUUCUUAAAAUAGAAACUUUCAUAACUUGGUAAUUUUUCCAAUUACAACCCGAACUUUCCUAUUUCCGAAGUGACAUAAAACAAAAACAAAACAUCGAUCACUACCUCUACCAAAAUAUUUUGCCGGAAUUUCACGAUAGUCUCCCUGUAUCUUCCAAUCUGCAAGUUAUCGACAAGCAUGUAGAAAAUUAAACGAUUUAACCACCAGUCCAACAGAAUAUCGCACUAGCCACAACACAGAAGCUUUUAAGAAACGGGAUUUACCCUCUACUUUCCAGAACGAAGAAUACGAUAAUCGAAGCUCCUCCUUACCUCAGCCAUGACCAAAUCGGAGAACCAACAGAAAAACAGGGAACCUCCCUUCGCCAGAAAACCUCUGCCUCCAACCCUUCCCAGGACGCGUCUUGGCUCCAAUCAACUAUUUCUAGACUCACCGGAUCUCGGUGGUCUCGCUAGAGCACCAAGAACAAACUCGCCGGAAAAACCUCGACAAAAACACAAAAGAGGGUUUUUUGAAUUAGUGCUCGAAUUAAGAAAACAAAGACACCAAAAGGGAGAGGAAAGAGAGGCGACCAAGAAUAUACCCAACGAAAUCGUCAUCUCCACCGAAGCUCGUUGGGAAUUGAAGAAGAAGACAACCGCACACCACCGCGAUCAACCUCCCUCUAUAAUGGAUGCAAGUUAGAUUGUUUUGGCUAGGCUAGGAAGGAGAGAAGAAAAGAAGAAGUUUAAUGGUGGUCUCGCCGUCUGGGGUGGCCGGAAGAGGCCAGUGCGUGGCGGAGGAGGAUGGCUACGACGGAGAGAGAGAGAGAGAGAGAGAGAAGAAAAAGGGAGACGGGUCAAUGCCCAUAGGGGGCUUUUGACCGAACUCAACCUCCUAUUUUCCUUUUAUGUUUAAUCCAAAGGCCAAGAUCAAAACCCUAAUUGAUCCGACGGCCCAGAUUAAUCCACAAUUUUCUAAUUUCAGAAAAAUUAAUUUCUUUUUAC